rnacentral:rRNA from 1 species
AGGGGACUCGCAAGAGCCUUUCGCUAAUAGAUGAGCCUGCGUUGGAUUAGCUAGUUGGUGGGGUAAGGGCCCACCAAGGCGACGAUCCAUAGCUGGUCUGAGAGGGCGAUCAGCCACACUGGGACUGAGACACGGCCCAGACUCCUACGGGAGGCAGCAGUGGGGAAUAUUGGACAAUGGGCGCAAGCCUGAUCCAGCAAUACCGCGUGUGUGAAGAAGGCCCUAGGGUUGUAAAGCACUUUCAAUUGGGAGGAAAACCCACCGGCCAAUACCCGGUGGCUUGACAUUACCUUUAGAAGAAGCACCGGCUAACUCCGUGCCAGCAGCCGCGGUAAUACGGAGGGUGCGAGCGUUAAUCGGAAUUACUGGGCGUAAAGCGUGCGUAGGCGGCCCGUUAAGUCAGAUGUGAAAGCCCCGGGCUCAACCUGGGAACUGCAUUUGAAACUGGCGGGCUAGAGUUUGGUAGAGGGGAGCGGAAUUUCAGGUGUAGCGGUGAAAUGCGUAGAUAUCUGAAGGAACACCAGUGGCGAA